rnacentral:rRNA from 1 species
UACGUAGGGGGCAAGCGUUGUCCGGAAUCAUUGGGCGUAAAGAGCGUGUAGGCGGCCCGGUAAGUCCGCCGUGAAAGUCCAGGGCUCAACCCUGGGAUGCCGGUGGAUACUGUCGGGCUCGAGUCCGGAAGAGGAGUGUGGAAUUCCUGGUGUAGCGGUGAAAUGCGCAGAUAUCGGGAGGAACACCAAUGGCGAAGGCAGCACUCUGGGACGUGACUGACGCUGAGACGCGAAAGCGUGGGGAGCAAACAGG